rnacentral:rRNA from 1 species
CUGCUGCCUCCCGUAGGAGUUUGGGCCGUGUCUCAGUCCCAAUGUGGCCGGUCACCCUCUCAGGUCGGCUACUGAUCGUCGGUUUGGUGGGCCGUUACCCCGCCAACUGCCUAAUCAGACGCGGGGCCAUCUCAUACCACCGGAGUUUUUCACACUGUACCAUGCGGUACUGUGCGCUUAUGCGGCAUUAGCAGUCAUUUCUAACUGUUAUUCCCCUGUAUGAGGCAGGUUCCCCCACGCGUUACUCACCCGUCCGCCG